CAAGCCUGGACUAGACGGGCUGGGACUCCUCUCGUGUGGCCCGGUGUUAGCGGGCUGCAGGCGGCCUUUCGCUGGACAAAAGAGGCCCCACUGGUGUGUGAUCCCUGGUUAUGAUGUGAUGAGGAUCAGCUGAGCUACUGAGCAAUGUGGUAAUGAACGAGAACACAGAAGAUGAACCGCCCGCUCUCCUUCAUCCUUUAGUUACAGAUUGACUCCAGGACAUGCAAGGACUGCUAAGUAGUUAACCUGUAGAAAAAGAGUGCAGCUGCAAUGAACAAACUGUCUUUUUGGUGAAAACAUCUUAAUGCCUCCUUAAUUACACCUUUGUAAGAUUCCACCUUGAGAAACAACCGCCCUACAGCAGCUUCUGCGCAAGAUAAGAAACCGGCCGAGAUGGACCAAGGAACAUAUGUUCUGGAUCGUGCUACAGCAGUCAGAGGCUGAAAAUACUGAAUGCAAGAAGUGGAGGGAAAGUGAAAAGCGGGAAAGAGAAGAGAAGGAUUCUUACAACAGGGAUGCCACAGAGAGGCUGAUUAAAGUUCUGGAGCAUCAAACCGACUCUUGUAACACUGCAGACUGAGCAGAUGCGUGCCCGCCUGCCCCUUCGCAGCAUUGUGAACUCUUUCCCAUGCACUUCCAAACUCCCCCUGCUCAUUCCUCUCCACCUUCUAGCACUUCAUGCUUUCCUCUACACUCCACCCCCACAGACAGCUGUUUCAAUGAAAGCUGGAGCUAUACUCAACUAUGAAAAUCAUCCCCCUCCCAUUCCUUCCUCCCCACCAACUGUGUGGAUGGCUGUAUGUGUCUGUGUGUUGGUGUGGGUUUGUCUGUGAAUAAAAGCAGUGUUUU